UACGUAGGGCGCAAGCGUUAUCCGGAAUUAUUGGGCGUAAAGAGCUCGUAGGCGGUCUGUCGCGUCGAAUGUGAAAACCCGGGGCUCAACCCCGGGCCUGCAUUCGAUACGGGCAGACUAGAGUUCGGUAGGGGAGUCUGGAAUUCCUGGUGUAGCGGUGAAAUGACGCAGAUAUCAGGAGGAACACCGGUGGCGAAGGCGGGACUCUGGGCCGAUACUGACGCUGAGGAGCGAAAGCGUGGGGAGCGAACAGG
rnacentral:rRNA from 1 species